AGCGAACGCUGGCGGCAGGCCUAACACAUGCAAGUCGAACGAACCUUUCGGGGUUAGUGGCGGACGGGUGAGUAACACGUGGGAACGUGCCUUUAGGUUCGGAAUAACUCAGGGAAACUUGUGCUAAUGCCGAAUGUGCCCUUCGGGGGAAAGAUUAAUCGCCUUUAGAGCGGCCCGCGUCUGAUUAGCUAGUUGGUUGAGGUAAUGGCUCACCAAGGCGACGAUCAGUAGCUGGUCUGAGAGGAUGAUCAGCCACAUUGGGACUGAGACACGGCCCAAACUCCUACGGGAGGCAGCAGUGGGGAAUCUUGCGCAAUGGGCGAAAGCCUGACGCAGCCAUGCCGCGUGAAUGAUGAAGGUCUUAGGAUUGUAAAAUUCUUUCACCGGGGACGAUAAUGACGGUACCCGGAGAAGAAGCCCCGGCUAACUUCGUG
rnacentral:rRNA from 1 species